rnacentral:rRNA from 1 species
UAAGCCAUGCAAGUCAUUGUAGCAAUACAAGGCAGACGGCUCAGUAACGCGUAGUCAAUCUACCCUAUGGACGGGAAUAACCUCGGGAAACUGAGAAUAAUGCCCGAUAGAACAUUAUGCCUGGAAUGGUUUAUGUUUCAAAUGAUUUAUCGCCAUAGGAUGGGACUGCGGCCUAUCAGUUUGUUGGUGAGGUAAUGGCCCACCAAGACUAUUACAGGUACGGGCUCUGAGAGGAGUAGCCCGGAGAUGGGUACUGAGACACGGACCCAGGCCCUAAAUCGAAUUUCCC